rnacentral:rRNA from 1 species
CCUGUCGGAAGACAGGGCCUUUUGUUUUCACCUGACCCCAUGCCGAACUCAGAAGUGAAACGCCGUAGCGCCGAUGGUAGUGUGGGGUCUCCCCAUGCGAGAGUAGGGAACUGCCAGGC